rnacentral:rRNA from 1 species
AUACGGAGGGUGCAAGCGUUAAUCGGAAUUACUGGGCGUAAAGGGUGCGUAGGUGGUUAAGUAAGUUAUCUGUGAAAUCCCUGGGCUCAACCUGGGCAGGUCAGAUAAAACUGCAUAACUCGAGUAUGGGAGAGGGUAGUGGAAUUUCCGGUGUAGCGGUGAAAUGCGUAGAGAUCGGAAGGAACACCAGUGGCGAAGGCGGCUACCUGGCCCAAUACUGACACUGAGGCACGAAAGCGUGGGGAGCAAACAGGAUUAGAUACCCUGGUAGUCCACGCCGUAAACGAUGUCAACUAGCUGUUGGUUAUAUGAAUAUAAUUAGUGGCGCAGCUAACGCGAUAAGUUGACCGCCUGGGGAGUACGGUCGCAAGAUUAAA